CAACCCUUUACCUUCAUGGGUGUGGUCAAAGAUUUUGUCCAAGAGGGGGACAAAAUGAUGGAGUAAUUCUCUCUCCAGUUUCAAAUGAACUACAGCUCUGCAGCUGCAGCUUAUGCAGAGGAGGAUGAUGGUGAGGGAUGAUGGGUUUGGUGGAUUUUGCCCUUGUGUUGGAGAGGUUCUCCUUGACUCUAGGCAUGUUACAGCUAUUUUUGGAUCAUCUGGAGUUUUAUCUGCCUGGUGAGCAAAGAGAGGCAGAAGAGUGCCACCAGCACCUGGGAAGACCUCAGCACUGGAGAGGAAAAGGAGCAGGAGCAGGGGCUCUGGAGCGUUGCAGACCUGGCACAAAUGAAGCAAACAUCUGCAAAUGUAUGAAAUACAACUGCAGCUCUUUAUCCAGCUCUGAGCAAGAACAGAAAUUCCUCCUGGGGAGCAUCUCCAGAUCCUUAUCUGGCCUGUGUGGGUUCAGU
rnacentral:lncRNA from 1 species